rnacentral:rRNA from 1 species
AUUGAACGCUGGCGGCAGGCUUAACACAUGCAAGUCGAGCGGGGGAAGGUAGCUUGCUACCGGACCUAGCGGCGGACGGGUGAGUAAUGCUUAGGAAUCUGCCUAUUAGUGGGGGACAACAUCUCGAAAGGGAUGCUAAUACCGCAUACGUCCUACGGGAGAAAGCAGGGGAUCUUCGGACCUUGCGCUAAUAGAUGAGCCUAAGUCGGAUUAGCUAGUUGGUGGGGUAAAGGCCUACCAAGGCGACGAUCUGUAGCGGGUCUGAGAGGAUGAUCCGGCACACUGGGGCUGAGACACGGCCCAGACUCCUACGGGAGGCAGCAGUGGGGAAUAUUGGACAAUGGGGGGAACCCUGAUCCAGCCAUGCCGCGUGUGUGAAGAAGGCCUUAUGGUUGUAAAGCACUUUAAGCGAGGAGGAGGCUACUUUAGUUAAUACCUAGAGAUAGUGGACGUUACUCGCAGAAUAAGCACCGGCUAACUCUGUGCCAGCAGCCGCAGUAA